AAAAGAAAAAAAAAAAAGAAAAAAAAAAAGAAAAAAAAAAAAAGUACCCCUCCUUAGGUUUCUAUUAGUGCUUCAGGUGAUUAAAACUAAAUUAGAAAUGCAAUUCCCUUAUUAGUGAAUAGUCCAGAUAGUUAUUUUACUUAUAUGUUGCUCCUCAAGGAGUCACGGUACAUAAACGAGGUUUUGUCAAUACAAAACAGUUUUUGUCAAUAGUGAGUCUCCAGGCAAUUUCCUAAACCUCCAACAGAAUCAGGGCAGUGCAGUAACCACAAUCGGUGCUCCUUGAAAUGAAGCUAUACACAUAAAAAUAAGAAAAAUUAAUAAUGUAUUUUACAAAAAAGAAUAUUUAAGAUUUUUUCUUCCUUAAUCUUAACAAACAGGCCACAAUUUUUUCCCCUUUCAGACUGUCAGGUUUAGCUCCUUUAUGCUGAAGGCAGAGGAGACAACUGCUUCAUGUGACAUCAUCUAUUUCUUACUAAACAGCAUGGCAAUCCCAUCUGUUUUAGCAAUGCUUUUGGUGACACCAGGAAGGUUGUCUCUGAUCAAAGAGGCAUAGUACAGGUAGGCUACUCACUGAAGUAUGGAUCCAAGGCUUGGUUGCUUCAUGGGUGAUGUGCUGAUGCUUUGUGAGUGUAUGGACAGUUUGUGUUGGUAUGUAGAUCCCUGUUGCAUAUGCAGUGUCAGAAAUUGAUGUGAAUUGUGACACUAGUGAAUUCAGGUGUUAGAAAGGUUCUGUUUUGCACUGGGAGAAGAAAACCCUUAGGAUCACCCCUAAACAACCAUCUCCCUUCCUCUUCCUUCACCUCCCCCCUCUUCAGUUGAAAAUAGAUGUUUGAGUCACAGAGCCAAAGCAAAUUCAGCAAGCCAAAGCAAAUUCAGGCAGGAUCAAAACAGGUGGCCCAUGAAGCUGGAAGGUCUGUGCUAACUCCAGUGUAAUUCUAUGUCAGCAGAGUGGCAGCUGGCACAGAGGGUGGAGCUGAGUUCCUCCAGGAGCAGUCACCCUGUCUGCCAUGUCACAGUUCUGUGUUCUCUCUGGCGACAUCAUCCGCUGUGCUGGGGGCCAGAAGCCGGGACAGGCACAGCUCUCUUCCUACACAAGAGAGAAACUGGACACAUGAUCUCUAGCAGAGCAUUUCGUGAUGGAUUCAAAGCAUUUUAUGAAGAUGAGUUAGGCAUCACAGUGCUCUUGUGGCGUCUUACUGCUCUCAUGUUACAGAGAGAAAAACAGGGUUUUCCUUGAUGGAUUUUGCCAUCCUCAUUCCCUGAUGUGCAAGAACAAAAUUAGAGGACACAACAACCAGCAGUAAGAAGCAAACUGAAGCAAACCGGGUGGCGAUGCUGCAGGAGGAACUCACCCUACAAAACUAAUAAAGGACUUAAGAGUGCA